rnacentral:tRNA from 1 species
GGAGAUGUACUCAAGAGGCCGAAGAGGUGCCCCUGCUAAGGGUAUAGGCCGGGAAACUGGCGCGAGAGUUCGAAUCUCUCCAUCUCCG